rnacentral:rRNA from 1 species
GACGAACGCUGGCGGCGUGCUUAACACAUGCAAGUCGAACGGUGAAGCUCCAGCUUGCUGGCGUGGAUCAGUGGCGAACGGGUGAGUAAAACGUGAGCAACCUGCCCCUGACUCUGGAAUAAGCGUUGGAAACGGCGUCUAAUACUGGGUACGAGAAGGGUCCGCAUGGGCACUUUCUGGAAAGUUGUUCGGUUGGGGAUGGUCUCGCGGCCUAUCAGCUUCUUGGUGAGGUAAUGGCUCACCAAGGUGACGACGGGUAGCCGGCAUGAGAGGGCGACCGGCCACACUGGGACUGAGACACGGACCAGACUCCAACGGGAGGCAGCAGUGGAGAGUAUUGCACAGUGGGCGAGAGCCUGAUGCAGCGACGCCGCGUGAGGGAUAACGGCCUUCGGGUGGUAAACCUCUUUCAGCAGAGAAGAAGCGAAAGUGACGGUACCUGCAGAAGAAGCACCGGCUAACUACGUG